UGAGUAAAUGGGAUAGUCGCGGAUACAAGUACCGAAAGGUCGUAUCUGAGGAAAGUCCGAGCUCCAUAGGGCAGGGUGCUGGGUAAUACCCAGUGAGGGCAACCUCAAGGAAAGUGCCACAGAAAUAAACCGCCUAAUUUAUUAGGUAAGGAUGGAAAGGUGCGGUAAGAGCGCACCAGCAGUUAGGCGACUAACUGGCUAGGUAAACCCCAUCUGGAGCAAGACCAAGUAGGAGGGAAUAUAGGAGCUGCCCGCUCUCCCUCGGGUAAGGUCGCAUGAGGUGUUAGGUAACUAACAUCCUAGAUAGAUGACUAUCACUUUCUAUUGGAAAGUACAGAACUCGGCUUAUAAGUUUACUCAUAAU
rnacentral:RNase_P_RNA from 1 species